UUGCCAUAAUUCAUCCAAUCAAGGCUCACAUUUACUGUUGUCGACGUCGUAUCCUCAUUGCGAUUAGUUCUAUCUGGCCCCUGGCUAUGAUCUGCGCUUCUCCAAAUCUAUUUCUACAUAAGCUUUACGAAGUAGAGCUUGGCUUUACUCCAUGUUUAAUGCUGUUUCCACGACCACUGUUCUUGUGGCUGUUCAAAUAUACAGAGUUUGCAGUGUUUUACCUGCUUCCAUUAAUUCUUCAAGUCAUCCUCUACAUCAAGAUAGGCCAACAUCUCUUCAGCAAGGCCAGUUUUCGAGCCAUAGAGCCAAGUAUCGGGAAAGAAAUGUUUGUCGGAACCAUGAGGGCACGACGUGGUGUUAUAAAGAUGUUGAUUGCAGGUGUCACUGUGUAUUUUCUCAGUUUCUCCCCACAUCAAGUUCUGUUGUUUUACAAUACCUUCUCCGAGACCCAUUUCCAAGAAACCUGGUCGUACCUGAUCUUCGUCAACAUCAUGAUCUACGUUUCCUCUGCCUGUAACCCUCUACUUUACAGUGUCUUCAGUGAAAAAUUUCGCCAGAAGUUUCGUAGUAUCCUGUGCUGCCACACUCCUGUGGCAAAGAGUAUUAAUCAUAUCACCACAAAUUUCGUCAGUCGUCGAAACAAGAACACCACAAAAAAUUUAAAAACAACUUUUACUGAAGUGUAAAGUAACAUACUUGACAAAGGUACAUGCUACCAGUAAAGGCCCCUGUGACUGUAAUGACGGUUUACGGUAUCACACUUAACAGAUGAAAUGAAGAACCAAAGAAAGGCACUUUGUUUACCUUUUUCAAAAACUUCCCUGACAAUUGUACUGUGGUAUUGCUUAAUUUUAUAUAAGUUUAUGUCUGCAGGUGAUUUGUGUGUUUUUCUUUCAUAAAACU